rnacentral:lncRNA from 1 species
AGUCAUUAAGAUCCAGUGGCAAGACAAAAGUCAUGAUGACCAGUGAUGGCCCAGGAUGCAGUGGAUGGUCUGGGCAUCUUUGAUGUCUGACUAAGCACUAAGCCCUCUAAUAAUGAGGAAACUGAGGCUGAAAGAGGUUAAGGGACUUGCCCGAAGUCACAGAGCUAGCAUCUGAGGCUGGAUUCAAACUCAGAUCUUACUGACUCUAAGUAUACCAAUGCUACCCAUGGUGACAUUUACCUGCUUCAUAAAAUGGGAAAAUAAUACUAAGAGGAACCCUAGAAAUAGAAAAGGAGAAAUCAUAUUAAUGUGACCCUUAUCUUCUGUCUUGAAAUCAAUACUUUGUUUUAGUUCUGAGGCAGAAGAGUGGGAAGGGCUAGGCAAUGGGAGUCACACAGCUAGCCCUGGCUCUUAAUCUACUGUGCCAACUACCUGCCACCUCAAGUCUACUGAUGUACGCAGAAUACCAUGGUAUCUCAAUGUGGGACUACAUGAUCUUUGGUACUAAAGAACUAUUACAGAAAAUGCAAACUGUGCUCCAUGAUAUCUACAUAUCUUUUGUCAAACAAGGACUUUUCUAGUGUUGGGAGUAGAGAGAAGAAAGGAGACAACUGGGGACUUUGAUGUAACAAAAAAAAGAUAAGUUAAAAUAUUCUGUUGGAUUAAUAUCCAUAGAGUUUAUUUGGAUAAAUUAAUCUAUUAUGAAAUAUGAAUUAUAGAAAUGAAUUUUGGAGCUGAAGUUUAACUGAAAGGAAAGGACUGAAGAAAGUAUUCAAGCCAGUAUAUUAAUUCUCAGAGUUCAGGAUUCAAAUGUAGGUCUUCUGAUUCAAGAUACAGUGUUCCAAGGAUUGAAGUUAGUUCAACAGUUCUAAAUGAGGGGUUUUCUGUCUUUCAAAUAUUCAGUGCCAAAUUCUGUAAAAUUCUUUGGAUGAUCCUAACUUAUCUGGGCUUUCUGAAAUUACUUUAG